UACGUAGGGUCCGAGCGUUGUCCGGAAUUAUUGGGCGUAAAGGGCUCGUAGGCGGUCUGUUGCGUCGGGAGUGAAAAUUCACAGCUUAACUGUGAACUUGCUUCCGAUACGGGCAGACUCGAGGUAUUCAGGGGAGAACGGAAUUCCGUGGUGUAGCGGUGAAAUGCGCAGAUAUCAGGAGGAACACCGGUGGCGAAGGCGGUUCUCUGGGAAUAUCCUGACGCUGAGGAGCGAAAGUGUGGGGAGCGAACAGG
rnacentral:rRNA from 1 species